rnacentral:lncRNA from 1 species
UAAAAACCCUAUACACCUCUGUAUACUAUACUUCCUCAAUGUAUAUGUCAGAAAAAAAACUCAUAACUCAUAAACAACUCAAAUCAAGAUUUCUAUCUCUACAAUCCUUAAGCACAAUAUUUAAGUAUCUUCGAUCAAUCACGUACUGUUUUUUAUUUCAACUUUUCUACAUGGCGAUUAAGUUACCGCUACACCACAAUCCUCUUAACUAAUUACGCAAUGCGUUUUAACUUUCCGGCACAGC